UUUUCCACCGGGACCCCGCCGGCCGGUAAAAAAGAAAGAGUGGCGAACGGGUGAGUAACACGUGGGUAACCUGCCCAUCAGAAGGGGAUAACACUUGGAAACAGGUGCUAAUACCGUAUAACAAUCGAAACCGCAUGGUUUUGAUUUGAAAGGCGCUUUCGGGUGUCGCUGAUGGAUGGACCCGCGGUGCAUUAGCUAGUUGGUGAGGUAACGGCUCACCAAGGCCACGAUGCAUAGCCGACCUGAGAGGGUGAUCGGCCACAUUGGGACUGAGACACGGCCCAAACUCCUACGGGAGGCAGCAGUAGGGAAUCUUCGGCAAUGGACGAAAGUCUGACCGAGCAACGCCGCGUGAGUGAAGAAGGUUUUCGGAUCGUAAAACUCUGUUGUUAGAGAAGAACAAGGAUGAGAGUAACUGUUCAUCCCUUGACGGUAUCUAACCAGAAAGCCACGGCUAACUACGUGCCAGCAGCCGCGGUAAUACGUAGGUGGCAAGCGUUGUCCGGAUUUAUUGGGCGUAAAGCGAGCGCAGGCGGUUUCUUAAGUCUGAUGUGAAAGCCCCCGGCUCAACCGGGGAGGGUCAUUGGAAACUGGGAAACUUGAGUGCAGAAAAGGAGAGUGGAAUUCCAUGUGUUGCGGUGAAAUGCGUAGAUAUAUGGAGGAACACCCAGUGGCGAAAGGGCGGCUCUCUGGUCUGUAACUGACCCUAAGGCCUCCAAAGCGUGGGGAACCAACAGGAUUAAAUUCCCUGUUUCCCCCCAAAAUAAUUUUAAUUUUGGGGUUCCCCCCCUUUCAUGCGUUACUACCCCAUUAAACCCCCCCGGGGAGAUACAACCAAGGUUAAAAAAAGAAUAUGGGGCCCCCAAAGGGGAAUAUUUGUUUUUANAAAACAAAAAAUUCANNUUUAUUCUUUACACUUAAAAUUAUAUCCCUCUGGAAAAAAGGUUUUUUUUUUUUUUUUAAUAUUUUUUUUANACCCCCUUUUUUUCUAUCACCAAAAACAGAGGAUAUAUACNUUAUUUUCUAAAAAAAAAUUAUUUUAUNACNA
rnacentral:rRNA from 1 species